GAUGAACGCUGGCGGCGUGCCUAAUACAUGCAAGUCGAGCGAACAGACGAGGAGCUUGCUCCUCUGACGUUAGCGGCGGACGGGUGAGUAACACGUGGAUAACCUACCUAUAAGACUGGGAUAACUUCGGGAAACCGGAGCUAAUACCGGAUAAUAUAUUGAACCGCAUGGUUCAAUAGUGAAAGACGGUUUUGCUGUCACUUAUAGAUGGAUCCGCGCCGCAUUAGCUAGUUGGUAAGGUAACGGCUUACCAAGGCAACGAUGCGUAGCCGACCUGAGAGGGUGAUCGGCCACACUGGAACUGAGACACGGUCCAGACUCCUACGGGAGGCAGCAGUAGGGAAUCUUCCGCAAUGGGCGCAAGCCUGACGGAGCCACGCCGCGUGAGUGAUGAAGGUCUUCGGAUCGUAAAGCUCUGUUAUUAGGGAAGAACAAAUGUGUAAGUAACUAUGCACGUCUUGACGGUACCUAAUCAGAAAGCCACGGCUAACUACGUG
rnacentral:rRNA from 1 species